CUCGGAAGCUAUCUCCUGCAAGUCGAGCCAUUCUACUCUCAGGCCCUGCAGAGCUAUAUCAACAGAUGCUUGCAAAGGCACUAGCGCAUCACUUUGAGGCCAAACUAUUGUUGCUAGAUAUAACUGACUUCUCUCUCAAGAUGCAGAGCAAAUAUGGUCAUGGCA